GGGUGGUUGCUCUUAACGUUGACAUGGUAAGGGUCACAGGUUCGAUCCCUGUACCACCCACCA
rnacentral:tRNA from 1 species